rfam:Ricinus communis cultivar Hale ctg_1100012358799, whole genome shotgun sequence.
GUAUCUAUGGUGUUGGCAUUACAAUAGAAGUGAUUUGAAGCGAUCCCAUAAUUCAUGAAAGGACUCAAUAUCCUUUUGAUAAAAAUAGAAAUUUCAACUCUUAAUUC